UACGUAGGUGACUAGCGUUGUCCGGAUUUACUGGGCGUAAAGAGCGCGCAGGCGGUCGUUCAAGUCGAGUGUGAAAGCCCCCGGCUCAACUGGGGAGGGUCAUUCGAUACUGAUCGACUCGAAGGCAGGAGAGGGAAGUGGAAUUCCCGGUGUAGUGGUGAAAUGCGUAGAUAUCGUAAGGAAGACCAGUGGCGAAGGCGGGUCUCUGGACAGUUCCUGACACUGAGACACGAAGGCCAGGGGAGCAAACGGG
rnacentral:rRNA from 1 species